rnacentral:rRNA from 1 species
AUUGAACGCUGGCGGUAGGCCUAACACAUGCAAGUCGAACGCGAAAGUCCUUCGGGAUGAGUAGAGUGGCGGACGGGUGAGUAACGCGUAGGAAUCUAACCGGUAGUGGGGGAUAACGUUUCGAAAGGAACGCUAAUACCGCAUACGCCCCAAGGGGGAAAGCGGGGGAUCUUCGGACCUCGUGCUAUAGGAGGAGCCUGCGUCGGAUUAGCUAGUUGGUGAGGUAAAGGCUCACCAAGGCGACGAUCCGUAGCUGGUCUGAGAGGAUGAUCAGCCACACCGGAACUGAGACACGGUCCGGACUCCUACGGGAGGCAGCAGUGGGGAAUAUUGCGCAAUGGGCGAAAGCCUGACGCAGCCAUACCGCGUGUGUGAAGAAGGCCUUCGGGUUGUAAAGCACUUUCAGUGGGGAGGAAAAGCUGGUGGCUAAUAUCCAUCGGCCGUGACGCUACCCACAGAAGAAGCACCGGCUAAUUCCGUGCCAGCCGCCGCAGUAACAC